UACGGAGGGUGCAAGCGUUAUCCGGAUUCACUGGGUUUAAAGGGUGCGUAGGCGGGCAGAUAAGUCAGUGGUGCACUCUCCGCGCUUAACUCGGAAACUGCCGUUGAUACUAUUUGUCUUGGAUACUGUGGAGGUAAGCGGAAUAUGUCAUGUAGCGGUGAAAUGCUUAGAUAUGACAUAGAACAACAAUUGCGAAGGCAGCUUACUACACAGCGAUUGACGCUGAGGCACGAAAGCGUGGGGAUCAAACAGG
rnacentral:rRNA from 1 species